GUAGGGAAUAUUGCACAAUGGGCGCAAGCCUGAUGCAGCAACGCCGCGUGCGCGAUGAAGGCCUUCGGGUCGUAAAGCGCUUUUCGGGGAGAUGAGGAAGGACAGUAUCCUCGGAAGAAGGAUCGGCUAACUACGUGCCAGCAGCCGCGGUAAAACGUAGGAUCCGAGCGUUAUCCGAAUUCACUGGGCGUAAAGCGCGUGCAGGCGGUUCGGUAAGUUGGAUGUGAAAUCUCCCGGCUCAACUGGGAGGGGACGUUCAAUACUGUCGGACUCGAGGACGGUAGAGGGAGGUGGAAUUCCCGGUGUAGUGGUGAAAUGCGUAGAUAUCGGGAGGAACACCAGUGGCGAAGGCGGCCUCCUGGACCGUACCUGACGCUCAGACGCGAAAGCUAGGGGAGCGAACGGGAUUAGAAACCCGAGUAGUCC
rnacentral:rRNA from 1 species